rnacentral:snRNA from 1 species
AAAAAGGGCUUCUGCUGUGCGUAGCACAUGGAGUUGGGGGCGGCUACGGCUUAGCUUCUCUCUGUGCGGAAUCGACAUCAAGAGAUUUCGGAAGCAUAAUUUUUGUUACUGGGGCAGCUAGUAACCGCUUGUUCUGGCGCCCCA